CUACUCUUCUACUUCUUUCCUUCUUUUCCACAUUUGGUACCUCCCUCAUCCUUCUCCUUCCUCUCCCUCCUACUCUUUAUCUUUGCUAGAAUCCUAUUUAGAUUUUAAGUAAUAAUCCCUAGUAACUUGUAGGCUUGAAAACUCAUUAGAGACCCAAUUCAAAUUGUUUGAAUGGUGAUAAUUAGCUUUGUAGGUUAUUAUUGUUUAUUAAAAACAACCAUUAGUAAUGCUAUGUAGCUUUCCUUAAAUGGAGUUGAACACUUCUCUUGCUAUAUGUC
rnacentral:lncRNA from 1 species